rnacentral:rRNA from 1 species
UACGUAGGGAGCAAGCGUUAUCCGGAUUUAUUGGGUGUAAAGGGUGCGUAGACGGGAAGACAAGUUGGUUGUGAAAGCCCUCGGCUCAACUGAGGAACUGCAACCAAAACUAUCAUUCUUGAGUGCGGGAGAGGAAAGUGGAAUUCCUAGUGUAGCGGUGAAAUGCGUAGAUAUUAGGAGGAACACCAGUGGCGAAGGCGACUUUCUGGACCGUAACUGACGUUGAGGCACGAAAGUGUGGGGAGCAAACAGG